rnacentral:lncRNA from 1 species
ACUGUAACUAAUGAUGGGGUCACCAUCUUAAGCGUGAUGGAUGUCAGUCAUCAGAUUGCCCAGUUUGAUGGUGGAAAUGUCUAAGUCUCAGGAUGAUGAAAUUGGAGAUGGAACCACAGGUGUGGUUGUCGAGAGUAUGGAUACCCGUCGUAUCUCUGUGUUACAUUUUCGUAAUCCUCACACUGUCAAACUUUUUCAUUAUGAUCUUAUUUGUUAUAGUGAUUUGUGAUUGGUGAUCCUUGAUGUUAUUAUUGUACUUACUUUGAGGUGCCAUGAAUUGUGCCCAUACAAGACAGCAAACCUAAUUGAUAAACAUUGUGUGUGAUCUGACUGCUCCACCUACCGGCCAUCCCCCCAUCUCUCUCCCUCUCUUCAGGCUUUCCUAUUCCAAGACACAACAAUAUUAAAUUAGGACAAUUAAUAACCCUUCAAUGGUCUCUAGGUGUUUAUUCAAGCGAAAGAAAAAGUCGCACAUCUCUCACUUGAAAUCAAAGCUAGAACUGAUUCUGCUUAGCAAGGGAGGUGUGUUUGGGCAAGACAGACUGAAAGCUAGGCCUCAUGUCAAACAGCCAAGUUGUGAAU